GAGCAGCCUGGGCCAUCUCCUUCACACAGGACGCAAGCUCAGAUUUUAGAGCUUCAGGCCCAAGGACCCGCUUGAGAUGCUCUUGCAGAAUAGGAGUCUGUCGCCUUGAAGAAGGCGUGUAUGGAACGUGCACCUCCGAUGGGAUCAAAUACAAAUUCUGCUGCCUCUGAGUUUGCAGCACAGAAGAAAAUAAGUUCAUAACUUACUUUCCAACCAGGAAGAUAACUUUCAUUAUGCCUCUACUUGGUCCCUUGCUUCCUUUCUUCAUCUCUCAUCAAGUCCUUGUAGCAAGU